UCUCUUAUAUCCAACCAACAGCUCUCGCUCUGUAGCCCAUCGCCCUCACCCACUUGAAAAAUCAAGAAAGUGAAUGGUGACUGGUGAGGCUGUGAGAGAUCAAGUGGGGAUGAUGAUGUUGUGCAAGUGGUCCAGAACGAUUAGGACCAGCGUUCAUGAUAGAAGGUCCACCCAAACAAGACUACAAGUGUCACUCACUAAUCAGUAGUCAGGCUCCCCAGAACCAACCUUAGGGAGUUUAGGAUUGAUUGCGUUAGAUCUACACAUCAAAGAGUUCAAUUCUAAACAUGACUCACAUCUUACCCUUCUCUUGCCAAUUGAGUCCGUCCAGCAUUCAGCAACGAGUAGCUUUGAAGAUGUGAGUUGUGUCAACAUUCUCGCAACCUUCAAGUAAACCAGCUUCUAUGCAAAGGGAAGUUGAUAGUUUGGAUAUAGGGAUGGAUGAUACGUUAGGUUUCAGAAAUACAACUAUUAAAGAGAGCGGUGUUGCUUUCAGAAAUACUGCACACAAAUAGUUUUCUAGAUUUGUCCCUGCCCUUGAAGAACCACAAAUAAUCUAGGUCCAAGUUACACAGUAUUUUCCCGAAGAAAGUCAGCAGUGCAUUUUGUACCAUUCUAAUCGUCGUCUGGCAAGUAAUCAUCAUCUCUCAUAUAUCGAACGAAAGGGCAACCUUUCCAUCUCCGUGAACAGUGAACUGUUAACUUUUUAACUUGACUAAUGCAGAUUGAAUUCAAAAUUCCCACUAAAAUGAGAGGAAAGGAGGGAAGGGACACCGCAGAUAAGCUUUCACAUUGGUUAUCACAUCAGCAAAUGCCCAUCCAUGAUAAAAACGACUGCUUGAAUUAUGAUAUAAUAUUUUUCAUAACUGCUGUUUGGCGUCUAGCUUAUUUUCCCAUGGAAAAGAAAUGCUGGGAUAGAACCUCGAGAGCAGAUAGGGAUCUCAACCCAGCUUCAUCCUCAAAACACAUUUUACACAAAGAUGAGUGAAGAAUUGAAACAAGACGAUAAAUUGCAGACUCAGACAACUUUGUACAAACAAGAGAUUUCAGGUACUGUUCUAGGAUCCGUUUCCACCAAACUAGCUCCAUGAUGACAGGUCUGGAGGCAAUUCCCUGACAGAAGGGGCUGACAUGAGGAAGAUGAUUUGCAAAUUCUGGGACAACGACGAUGAGGAAAAUUCCAGCAAAGUUAUUUACCCCAUUAAUGUAUCUUCUCAUAGAUAAUUUUUUUAUGGUCAGAAGACACAUCACACAACCACUUCACAAGAUCUAAAAUUUCAGACUAAGACUAAAAUGAAGAUAUUAAAAUCUUUAAUCCUUAUUAAGAAGGAACAAAAAAGCAUCAUAAACUACUUCAAGUAUCUGCAGUACCAUAAUCUGAUUCAAUUAAGCA